GAAUAUUGGACAAUGGGCGAAAGCCUGAUCCAGCCAUGCCGCGUGUGUGAAGAAGGCCUUUUGGUUGUAAAGACCUUUACGCGAGGAGGAGGCGACUGGGAUCAAUACUCUAGGUUAGUGGACGGUACUCGCCGAAUACGCACGGGCUAACUCUUUGCCUGCAGCCGCGGUAAUACAGGGGGUGCGAGGGUUACUCGGAUUUACUUGGCGUAAAGGGUGCGUAGGCGGCUUUUUAAGUCGGAUGUGAAAUCCCUGAGCUUAACUUAGGAAUUGCAUUAGAUACUGGGAAGCUAGAGUAUGGGAGAGGAUGGUAGAAUUCCAGGUGUAGCGGUGAAAUGCGUAGAGAUCUGGAGGAAUACCGAUGGCGAAGGCAGCCAUCUGGCCUAAUACUGACGCUGAGGUACGAAAGCAUGGGGAGCAAA
rnacentral:rRNA from 1 species